GGGGUUGUACUGGUUUCGACGGGGAUUUUGCAAUCGUGACAGCCAUCUGCAGACCGUGACUGCAUAUCAAAACGGAAAACUUAAAUAUAAACGCAGAAGAUAAUUUUGCUCUUGCUGCCUAAUGGCGGCUGUCGGCCGGAAGUCUCGCAUCGCUUCCGAACCGGCAUCGACUGAUGCGCCACUCCGUUCCCUAAGCUUUGCGGGUCCGGAACAUUUAUGAAGCUACUUUUUGCAUGCGCCUGUCCUUCUGUGCAUGUAGGAGGGAAUUCUAAAGAAUGACUGUGAUGGGAGAACUUGCGAUGAAUGGGUUUUCGGACAGGGGUUCGAUUCCCCUCAGCUCCAC
rnacentral:tmRNA from 1 species